rnacentral:pre_miRNA from 1 species
UAUUGCAUCUAUAGACUGAGCUUUGGUCUUUGUAUAGUGAGCCAGUCUAUACAUGCAGUAAA